rnacentral:piRNA from 1 species
AGCAAGGAGAACAGCCACCCUGACC